rnacentral:misc_RNA from 1 species
AAAGAUAUAGCAUAUUCUUCUGAAUAUACUUUAUUAACCCAUUCCGAGUACCUUACCCGUUGCUUCCGCGAGGCUGUCCUCACGGCCCUCUGAAGAUUUAUCUUUGGGGAGUCCUUGCGGAAGGUAUACAAUAAACUCUUGCAUUACCAUGCCAUCUGUCUGAAUCUGUUUAAAGCAAAUAUUA